rnacentral:rRNA from 1 species
CAGCCGCCGCGGGAAUACGUAGGGUGCAAGCGUUAAUCGGAAUUACUGGGCGUAAAGCGUGCGCAGGCGGUUUUGUAAGACAGAGGUGAAAUCCCCGGGCUCAACCUGGGAACUGCCUUUGUGACUGCAAGGCUAGAGUACGGCAGAGGGGGAUGGAAUUCCGCGUGUAGCAGUGAAAUGCGUAGAUAUGCGGAGGAACACCGAUGGCGAAGGCAAUCCCCUGGGCCUGCACUGACGCUCAUGCACGAAAGCGUGGGGAGCAAACAGGAUUAGAUACCCGAGUAGUCCCUGUCUCUUAUAC